CACGCUUUGACGAGUGUAAGGCAGGUUGACGUUUCUUGCCCAGCUGUGAUUUCCGCUAAAUGGGCCAGCUGCAAAAUUUUACAUGUAGAUAAUCAACCAACACAGAAGCCACCAACUGCUUUAUUAAAGUAGAUGUCUGUCCUAGUGAGUUACACAUUGUGAGCCGACAUGGCAAUUCAUCCACCAGAGGCAGCUGAGUGCCUUAACAGUUUGCCAAGAUCGCCUUGCAAGGAUGGGCGUUGGUGGUGGAUGGCGGGCAACCGACAGCGUCAUUGCAUCAGUACUGCAAUAAAUUCUGCAGUCAAACUUUGUUCAUUAUGCAAUUCAACAUUUUAGUGGAUGUGUGAGCAACAAAAGUUCAACACUCACCUUUUGUCACUAUUUCUGGAAAGUCUACGCAUACAAUUUGACGCAAACGUUGGAUAACUCCAAUGUAUAUACACCACAGAGAAACCACUACAACUGUAUGGCGUCAAAUCCGAUUAAAAAAAGUCGAACGGGCGCCAUCGCGCGAGAAAGCAAGAUGAAACAUCAUUGCGCAGUCAAACACUUUUACCGAGAGAAAAUGUGGUCGAGCGAGCAUAGGACGUUUUCCGAGAGCGCAGGCCAACGUGGUGUGCGCAAAUUAAACUUGAGGACUUGCAAGUGUGACUUUGAGCGAGCGCAACUGCAUUAAAUGAAUUUGACAGCAGAGACUUUUGUUUGCCUGAAGAAAUACUUACUACAUGUCAAGACUCAGAAAUGACUGCACUGUCACAAAUAUGCCGCUUCCACACACGGAUGUAUUUUCAUCCCACUCACACCAAUUUUCCAGUCUGUUCUCCAAAACCCAUUUUGCUCUCGCAACCGCUUACUAUAAUUUUAGAACAGGGGGACAUUUUGACCAUACAGAUGAAAGAGGACGGUGAAAGAUGAACGAUGACUGACAAUAAUAAAGAGGUCUACUGUCACAAGUAUGUGGUGGUGAAGUUGUUCUCUGCCCAGCUGACAGAGACAGGAGAUACAGAGACAGGAGUCCAUUCUAUUACAAGUAGGUCACCUUGGCUCUCCUCUAUGCACAGCACUCCAGGGACUUCCUGCAGGUAACGAUGUUAUCCACCAAUCACCCCCCCCCCCCAUAACUGAAUCAUUAGUGGUACUGCGAGUUCCUCUCAUUUCUUUGACUCUGUAUGAAGACAUUGCGCAUAGGACAUUUGUCACGAAGAGUGGAUGAUGACCAGAUGCUGGUUAUUGGUUAGAAAGAUGGUUCUAUACUGAAUGUAUGUGAUAGUCAUUGCUAAACAAUAUGAGGGGUAUAGAUAGGUAAGGGAUAGAAGUGAAAACCUAUAGGAGGAUAGCUCUCCACAAGGUGGGUUGGGCAUGAAAUAACAGCAGGCUGUUCAAUACUGAGCCAUGCUGACUGACAAGUGGUGUAGAUUGGUACCGGGCAAUUCCACAGUAACAGAGUGAUGCUGAGUCUCAUAUUUUUCACUUUAAAAUGUAUGUCAAACAAACAAAUGAUUGCAAAUUGUUUAAAGUAGUCCUUGUGCAUACGGUUGUAUGGCUUGUUUCACUUUGAAAUCAUUGUUGUUUUUUUACAUACAUUUUUAAAGUGAAAAAUCUGAGUGUCAGCGACACUGUACCGUGGAAUUGCCCUACAGCUUGGAUCAGUCUCACAUCGUGUGUUAUCACUUAUUUGGCUAAAUGAUUAUCCAUAGUUGCCGCUACAGCCUCAGCAGUCUUAAAAUGGACUGUUACCCUGAAUGCAACAUUAAGAUGUUAAAACAUUUAAAUUCCAACACUUGUCUGUGAUAUUCCCUGACGUCAAUGCUUGUAGAAAGAUCAUGUUUGACCAGGUGGAGUCAGGCUUCUACUUCAUCGCCCUGGACCACUACACGAACGAGCCAGAAGACGUUAAGUUUGGACCACCAUUACAAUGAGCCUGUCCUCCUAUAGCUCCUCCCACCAGCCUCCACGGUUCUUUUAAUUAUGGUGAUGCCCCAACUGUAAGAACCUGGAGAUCUCUACUGGUUUUGAGGGAGGUGACAUGGCCACAAACAGUGCCUGGGACACCUUCCAGCGCUACCGCUGUCUGGAAAACGGCCAGAGGGUGGUCUGCUGCAACAGUGUGUCAGCUCGGCUGCACCUGGGAACUAAAGAUUGUCCAGUCUGCUGAGAGGGUCAUUGGCUGCCACCUGCCCUCCAUUAAGGUUCCUGCACGACUCCAGGGUAAGGAAGCGUGCAGGAAAGAUCAUCGCCAACCCCUUCCACCCUUUCUUCCAAAGACUCCCAUCUGGCAAACGGUUCAAGUCAAUCACGAUCGAAACUUCCCGCCACCUGAACCGUUUCUUCCCCCGUGCUAUGGCCCUCACCAACCGGCCACCUGGUCCACAAUGAUCCUCUCAUCCAUGGACUCUGCGUUAUUCAUCCAGACUAUGCACCGUGCGCUAUCAUCUUACAUUCAUCAUUUAUAAUGUAGCUUAUAGUGUUCAUACUGAAUGUGGAUCUAUGGAAAUUCUGCAUAUAUAUUUUUGGGCUGUUUAUUAUGGCAGCACCAUUUCACAGAGUCAAAUUCCUGUACAUGCACAUUUCUGGCGAAUAAAACUGAUUCUGAUUCUAAAGCUGAUUCUAAAGCUGGUUUAUCAUAUGUCAGUUUAGAUUUUAAGUGAUAAUGCAAGAGAAGCCGGUGUUUGGAGGACAUAUUGGCACUGGUGUUGUUAUGCCCGAGACAAAGUCUAAAUGUUCCUUUGCCAUACUGGCUGGCAAUGUUAUUUUUCCUUGCUUGCUAACUAGCCAACUACAGCUAAAAUACGAUCACG
rnacentral:lncRNA from 1 species